CAGACGGCUCAGUAACACGUGGUCAAGCUAACCUAUGGACGUGGAUAACCUCGGGAAACUGAGAAUAAACCGCGAUAGAUCAUGAUGCCUGGAAUGGCUUAUGGUCGAAAUAGUUUACUGCCGUAGGAUGCGACUGCGGCCUAUCAGUUUGUUGGUGAGGUAAUGGCCCACCAAGACUAUUACAGGUACGGGCUCUGAGAGGAGAAGCCCGGAGAUGGGUACUGAGACACGGACCCAGGCCCUAUGGGGCGCAGCAGGCGAGAAACCUUAGCAAUGUGCGAAAGCACGACUGGGUUAGUCCGAGUGAUUCCUGCUAAAGGAAUCUUUUGCCGGUUCUAAAAGCACCGGUGAAUAAGGGGUGGGCAAGUCUGGUGUCAGCCGCCGCGGUAAUACCAGCACCUCGAGUGAUCAGGACGUUUAUUGGGCCUAAAGCAUCCGUAGCUGGCUUUGCAAGUCUCCGGUUAAAUCAACCUGCUCAACAGAUUGGCCGCUGGAGAUACUACAAAGCUAGGGAGUGGGAGAGGCAGACGGUAUUCGGGGGGUAGGGGUAAAAUCCUCUGAUCCUCUGAGGACCACCAGUGGCGAAGGCGGUCUGCCAGAACACGUUCGACAGUGAGGGAUGAAAGCUGGGGGAGCAAACC
rnacentral:rRNA from 1 species